rnacentral:lncRNA from 1 species
UGCUCCCCAGCUGGGCCGGCUGCGGACGCGGGAAGGGAGGUGGUGGCGACUGACGGAACUGGGUGAAGCUUCUGCAGAUGGCCUCCCCUCUCUGCGACUGGUUCCUUAUCGAGGCAAUGGAGAUGUGGACUGCGGUGACUGAUCAAGCCUCACAUAUCUACUGAAUCAGGAAGCCCGAAGGCCUGAGGCCUCCCGAGUGGCCCCAUGGGAGCGUCGUGCAUUUUUCUGAUAUGGAGUUGUUGGUCUUGAGAGGCAGACUGUGCAGGAACAAAGG